UACGGAGGAUCCAAGCGUUAUCCGGAUUCAUUGGGUUUAAAGGGUGCGUAGGUGGACUUGUUAGUCAGUGGUGAAAUCCUGCAGCUUAACUGUAGAACUGCCAUUGAUACUGCAAGUCUUGAGUGUGUUUGAAGUGGGCGGAAUGUGUCAUGUAGCGGUGAAAUGCUUAGAUAUGACACAGAACACCGAUUGCGUAGGCAGCUCACUAAGCCACAACUGACACUGAGGCACGACAGCGUGGGGAUCAAACAGG
rnacentral:rRNA from 1 species